UACGUAGGGACCGAGCGUUAUCCGGAUUCAUUGGGCGUAAAGAGCUCGUAGGCGGCUAUUCAAGUCGAACGUGAAAUCUCGGAGCUCAACUCCGAGCCUGCGUUCGAUACUGGGUAGCUAGAGUCUGGUAGGGGGAUCUGGAAUUCCUGGUGUAGCGGUGGAAUGCGUAGAUAUCGGGAGGAACACCUGAGGCGAAGGCGGGCUACUGGGCCGAUACUGACGCUGAUGCGCGAAAGCCAGGGGAGCGAACGGG
rnacentral:rRNA from 1 species